UUCCCUACGGGCGGCUGCAGUGGGGGAUAUUGCGCAAUGGGCGAAAGCCUGACGCAGCGACGCCGCGUGGGUGAUGAAGGCCUUCGGGUCGUAAAGCCCUGUCGAGGGGGACGAAACGGCUCCGACCUAAUACGUCGGGGUUCUGACGGUACCCCUAAAGGAAGCACCGGCUAACUCCGUGCCAGCAGCCGCGGUAAUACGGAGGGUGCGAGCGUUGUUCGGAAUCACUGGGCGUAAAGCGCGUGUAGGCGGUCUGCUAAGUCUGAUGUGAAAGCCCGGGGCUCACCCCCGGAAGUGCAUUGGAAACUGACAGACUGGAGUCCCGGAGAGGAGGGUGGAAUUCCUGGUGUAGCGGUGAAAUGCGUAGAUAUCAGGAGGAACACCGGUGGCGAAGGCGGCCCUCUGGACGGUGACUGACGCUGAGACGCGAAAGCGUGGGGAGCAAACAGGAUUAGAUACCCCAGUAGUCCU
rnacentral:rRNA from 1 species